rnacentral:rRNA from 1 species
CGCACGAGCGCACCCCUACUGUUAGUUGCCAGCGGAUAACGCCGGGGACUCUAGCAGAACUGCCAGCGCAAGCUGAGAGGAAGGUGGGGACGACGUCAAAUCAUCACGGCCCUUACAUCCUGGGCCACACACGUGCUACAAUGGUAGUGACAGAGGGCAGCCACUGGGUGACCAGGAGCGAAUCCCUUAAACACUAUCUCAGUUCGGAUCGAAGUCUGCAACUCGACUUCGUGAAGCUGGAAUCGCUAGUAAUCGCGCAUCAGCCAUGGCGCGGUGAAUACGUUCCCGGGCCUUGUACACACCGCCCGUCAAGCCAUGGAAGCUGGGAGUGCCUGAAGUCGGUAACCGAAAGGAGCUGCCUAGGGUAAAACUAGUAACUAGGGCUAAGUCGUAACAAGGUAGCCGUACCGGAAGGUGUGGCUGGAACACCUCCUUU